UUUAUAGCUAAAUUCCUGCAUGGGUUUUCAGCAAUUAUCUUUGCUUACCAGCAAUAGUGAAUGUAGCUUGCUUCUACAUGUACAAUCUUGGUGGGAUGUUAUCUUUCUCUUUCUUCCUUUCUAUUUUCGUUUUAUUUGGUGGGUGUUUGUAUGAUUAAAGGCGAACAUUUUUUGUCGGUUAUUACAUGUAUGUGUAGGAUUUUUUUUGUCAACAUGUUUGAUUCGAGAUGUAAAAUCUUGGGAUUUGUCUCAAUAGACAUGUUACCAAAGUGGCUCCACAAAUGAUUGAAGCUGUUUUAUUAAGUUGGGGGAUUUUCUUGCAUUAAGUGGUUGUGCAAUAUUUGAACCGUUAAGUCAAAAAGGCAUAUGGAAGAAUCUUCUUCCUUAUAUUUCUCUGUUUCUGAAUCAAUUUUGUAGGAUAUCAUCCUUUCAAAGAUGGGAAAGUCUCCAGGAAAAUGGAUCAAGGGCAUUCUUUUUGGUAGAAAAGGAUCCAAGUCUAGUCCGUCGACUGGAAGAGAACUUUCUAGAUCUGCAAGUGAGAAACCAGCUCAAGUUUCUUCGAAGGAGCCCAUAUCCACUUCAAUAGUUGAUACACCAUUCAUUUCAGGCCCUGUUUCUGGUACUGUUAGUGGUAGAAUAGAAAACUCAAGCUUUGAAAAGGGAGAAGCUACAAUACUGGCAAGUGAGGGGCAAGUGUCCUCUCUCUUGAAUAAAAAAAAGGAAGAUAAGCCGUCAGAUAUUGGGAUUCUAAAUGAUACAGGGAAGAUUACGCUUGAGCAAGCCGCCAUAAUCGUGCAAGCAUUUUUUAGGGGUUGUCAGGCCCGCAAUGAAUUUCAAAUUCUAAAAGGUGCUAUACGGCUGCAAGCCGCUGUUCGUGGUCAUUUGGUUCGAAGACAGGCUGUUGGCACAUUAUUUUGUAUGAAAGGUAUUGUCAGAUUUCAAGCAAUUACCAGAGGUUACAUGGUGAGGCAGGCUAGCGCUGGAAAUGGACAUUGCAGAAAACAAAGUCCUCUUGUAAAGGAUGUCAGCAAUCAGGAUUCUUGUGAAAUCAAGUAUAGUCGAUCUAGAACUUUGUCGAAGAAUGCUUUCAUUUAUGAGCUACUUGCUUCAUCACGAGCUGCAAUGCCACUACGCCUGGAAUAUAGUCCAGGAGAUUCAAAUUCUGCAUGGAGCUGGCUUCAUAGGUGGUCAACAUCACAAUCUUGGGCACCUAAUGUCGAACAGAAGGAAACUGGUAACUCAAAGCUCCAGAAAGUUGAAACAGAACAAAUUAAGUCAAAGCGCAACGGGAGGAGAGCGUCUUCUGUAACUGUGAGGAAGGACCCUAAUUAUGCCAAUGCCGAGCCAGAUAUAAAGCUCAUAGGUAGGAAACUCACUAGUCAUUCGGUCAAAUCCGCUCAGGAGCAUCCACAAUUUGAGAACGGCAAGGUUAAGAGUGGUGUCAAGAAAAACCAGAAACCCAUUGGCGAAAUAUGUAAUGAAGAAACUGAUGUAAGCAAACCAAGAAGACAUCAAAGGAAGCUUUUAAAAGCUCCAGCCCCUAAAUCCUUGGAGCAAACAUCUAAUACUCUAACCAGUAAAUCAAUGGAGGAUUUAGCCGAGCCAGAAGCAAAAGUUAUUGGUAACAGAAGCCAAGAUAUUCUUCCCUUAGAAAAGGACUUCAGGGACGAAGAGACCAGCAGUGAAAACUACAAAUCCAGCCAGACGACUUCUAUACCAGUUAAACAUGAUGAUCAAGAUGCAACCCCUGAGAGUAUGACAAGGGUUCCAAGUUACAUGGCAACAACUGCAUCUUCCCAGGCUAAGGUGAAAGCUCAAGCCUCCGCAAGGUUUGAGCAAUAUGCAACCGAAAGAACGGCUCUUACCAGACGUUAUUCUUUGCCAUCUUCCAUUGGUGGGAAACUGAUUUCAUCACCAAGAGUUCACAAACUGGUUCAAUCUAAUGGCAAAGAAGGAACCAAAAUUGAUAGAUCCCUGUCUUCCUCAAGAGAAAUUGCAGAUCGCCACAGGAGUUCCCCCAAACACUUCAGCGAGCACUACUCAUCCCAGAAAAAUACUCAAUGAAGCGAUUGGGGGGACUCUGGUCGAAACCUGAUGACGUUUGAAGCUGAUGCAUCGGACUUGAAUUGCAUUUUUUUGUUUCUAAGCAGACCCUUUUAUCAGUGGGCAAUGCCAAUGGAACAGAGGCGCGGAGUCUUUGUGGUAAGUGUAACCCAUUCAGAAGUAGCGGGAAAGUUGAGAGCAUAUUUGGUAUCACAAAGGUCAGAAUAUAUCGAUUCCUUGCAUCUCCCAACUUGUUUUAUGAUCAAAUCAGAUCAUUCUUGAUGAAUCAAAGUCUGAAAUUUGAUUUAGUUUUGUGAUAAUGAAAUUAUGUAAAGCAAGUUGGAAAAGAUGAUGGGAGCAAAUAUGCAGAUUCACUCGUGAAAACUAUUCCAUGUCAUAACUUAACCUACAUUCUUAACCAGGUUCAGUGUCUCCCAUGUAUUUACCUUGUUUUAACGGUUGAGAAGUGGUCCUAUCCAAGGACAUUUACUUCCUUAGAUCAGGAUACACCAACCACAGGCUUAACCCAAGGGCCAUUUUGCCUGCUUAUGCUUUAGAAUCACGAGGCGUCAGAUUUCAAUAACAAUAUGCAUUCUCAUUGUAUGUAAGAAACUUGAAUGAUUGUUCUGAGAUUUUGGUAAUUCUAUCAAAGAAAAAUUUCUUUCCAGGAAAGAUGUUAUAUAUGAUGAACUUAAGUUUUUAGUCA